CCUCACCCCAGGUGAGAUCUCUCCACUGGGCCCACCUCGUCUCUCGUCAUUCGCCUUCCGCCGGCCGCCGCCUCCGAGCGCCGCCGGUUGCCUCCUCCCACCCUCCCACCUCACUCCUCCUCCGGUUAUCCCUCCUCCUCUUCCGCCCUCGCGCAUCGCUCGUCCUCCGGUUGCUCCCCGGGAGGGCCUGCUCCUACCCCUGGCGGUCUCUGGCCUGAGUGCGUGCGUCCCAGCUGCCGCUGCCGGAGGAGGCGUUGACGGCGGCGACGGCGAUGUGCGCCCGGUGGCGUUUUGCGAGGACGCCGUCUCCCCGUGCACGUACUUCUUCGCCUUCUCCGAUGGCCACGCCACGGAAAGCCUCCACCAGUCAAGAAAUGUUGACAUGGGAAGCAGUAAUACUGGAACGUCACUUUUGGAGCUGAUAUUGUUGUGGGGAAACAGGUUAGCAAUCAUUUUCUUGGAAGUCGGAAGUAGUAUUCAUGUCAACUAAAUUGCGUCAAGUAUUGAGCAAUGCUACAUGAUGAACAUCAAGUCUUCUGAGGAUUGUUCAGAGCUUGAGACAACAUAACAACUGAAACUGAAAAGGCAUUGCUCCAGUGAGUUUCAGACAAAGCAGAGCAACUGAAACUGACUGCUUCAGUAUCCUCUGAGAUAUGAAUCCCUGAUUGUGUGUAGCUUGUCGGCCGCCUCCUGCAUGCUGAUGCGCUUGCUUGGGGCUGAAUCGGUGCAGCAGAGUCCAAUGUUCAACACAGAAAGAACACAUUGUGCUCCAUUUUCAUCGUUAAUGACUGAAUCUUCUUUGCAGAGGCU